rnacentral:tRNA from 1 species
UGGAUCACCUCCUAACAGGGAGACAACAAAAUGUUUUGAUAUAAAUUUUGUCACCUUAGGUCGAUCGGUAUCUCAGAUUUUCAUAAUUGAAAAUUUCAGUUUCUAAGUUUUUUCUAGGUCACCCAUAUUUUCCUGGGCCAUUAGCUCAGGUGGUUAGAGCGCACCCCUGAUAAGGGUGAGGUCCCUGGUUCAAGUCCAGGAUGGCCCAUAUCUCUAAAUUGGGGGUAUAGCUCAGUUGGUAGAGCGCCUGCUUUGCAAGCAGGAUGUCAGCGGUUCGAGUCCGCUUACCUCCACUGAUUACCACCUUUACAAUGAGAAGGAAUUUUUGGGAUCGACUUUCUGGCAAUGAAUCUAGCUUCCUAUUAUUUAAUAACUAAUUUAUUUAAUAAGACGCUGGACUCAAUGAAUUUUUUAAUUCUUUGUUUUCAGAGAACCUUGACAACUGCAUAGAUUUUUUUUCAAGACAAUAAGCAUCUUUAAUGAUGCAGAUUUAUUAUUUGUGCUUAAUGCAUUAAUAACAAUUCUAUUGAGCUGAUGCUUCAAUUUUUGAAGUUAUUGGUCAAGCUACAAAGGGCUCACGGAGGAUACCUAGGCACACAGAGGCGAUGAAGG